GACGAACGCUGGCGGCGUGCCUAAUACAUGCAAGUUGAGCGCUGAAGGUUGGUACUUGUACCAACUGGAUGAGCAGCGAACGGGUGAGUAACGCGUGGGGAAUCUGCCUUUGAGCGGGGGACAACAUUUGGAAACGAAUGCUAAUACCGCAUAAAAACUUUAAACACAAGUUUUAAGUUUGAAAGAUGCAAUUGCAUCACUCAAAGAUGAUCCCGCGUUGUAUUAGCUAGUUGGUGAGGUAAAGGCUCACCAAGGCGAUGAUACAUAGCCGACCUGAGAGGGUGAUCGGCCACAUUGGGACUGAGACACGGCCCAAACUCCUACGGGAGGCAGCAGUAGGGAAUCUUCGGCAAUGGACGAAAGUCUAACCGAGCAACGCCGCGUGAGUGAAGAAGGUUGUCGGAUCGUAAAACUCUGUUGGUAGAGAAGAACGUUGGUGAGAGUGGAAAGCUCAUCAAGUGACGGUAACUACCCAGAAAGGGACGGCUAACUACGUG
rnacentral:rRNA from 1 species